GACGUAGGGCGCGAGCGUUGUCCGGAUUUAUUGGGCGUAAAGAGCUCGUAGGCGGCUUGUUGCGUCGACUGUGAAAACCCGCGGCUUAACCGCGGGCUUGCAGUUGAUACGGGCAGGCUAGAGUUCGGUAGGGGAGACUGGAAUUCCUGGUGUAGCGGUGAAAUGCGCAGAUAUCAGGAGGAACACCGAUGGCGAAGGCAGGUCUCUGGGCCAUAACUGACGCUGAGAAGCGAAAGCAUGGGGAGCGAACAGG
rnacentral:rRNA from 1 species